rnacentral:rRNA from 1 species
GACGGAGGAUGCAAGUGUUAUCCGGAAUCACUGGGCGUAAAGCGUCUGUAGGUGGUCAAAUAAGUCAACUGUUAAAUCUUGAGGCUCUACCUCAAAAUCGCAGUCGAAACUAUUAGACUAGAGUAUAGUAGGGGUAAAGGGAAUUUCCAGUGGAGCGGUGAAAUGCGUAGAGAUUGGAAAGAACACCGAUGGCGAAGGCACUUUACUGGGCUAUUACUAACACUCAGAGACGAAAGCUAGGGUAGCAAAUGGG